GGGUGGGUAGAGGUGCGCGCCUGGGACCUGAACAUGGACUUCCCGUGCCUCUGGCUAGGGCUGUUGCUGCCUUUGGUAGCUGCGCUGGAUUUCAACUACCACCGCCAGGAAGGGAUGGAAGCGUUUUUGAAGACUGUUGCCCAAAACUACAGUUCUGUCACUCACUUACACAGUAUUGGGAAAUCUGUGAAAGGUAGAAACCUGUGGGUUCUUGUUGUGGGGCGGUUUCCAAAGGAACACAGAAUUGGGAUUCCAGAGUUCAAAUACGUGGCAAAUAUGCAUGGAGAUGAGACUGUUGGGCGGGAGCUGCUGCUCCAUCUGAUUGACUAUCUCGUAACCAGUGAUGGCAAAGACCCUGAAAUCACAAAUCUGAUCAAUAGUACCCGGAUACACAUCAUGCCUUCCAUGAACCCAGAUGGAUUUGAAGCCGUCAAAAAGCCUGACUGUUAUUACAGCAUCGGAAGGGAAAAUUAUAACCAGUAUGACUUGAAUCGAAAUUUCCCCGAUGCUUUUGAAUAUAAUAAUGUCUCAAGGCAGCCUGAAACUGUGGCAGUCAUGAAGUGGCUGAAAACAGAGACGUUUGUCCUCUCUGCAAACCUCCAUGGUGGUGCCCUCGUGGCCAGUUACCCAUUUGAUAAUGGUGUUCAAGCAACUGGGGCAUUAUACUCCCGAAGCUUAACGCCUGAUGAUGAUGUUUUUCAAUAUCUUGCACAUACCUAUGCUUCAAGAAAUCCCAACAUGAAGAAAGGAGACGAGUGUAAAAACAAAAUGAACUUUCCUAAUGGUGUUACAAAUGGAUACUCUUGGUAUCCACUCCAAGGUACUUAUUCUGUGUCUGCCUACUGUGAGCCAGGAACUGAAAGAUGAACAAGACACACACCUCACCCUGGAGUUGAAUAGGGGAGACAGACACGCAGAUAAGUAAUUGUGAUAGCAGUGCAAUUAGAAUAAAAACAGAUUUAGAGAAGGUGCAGUGUACCCCAAGGGUGCACAGAGCCAAAAUACAAUAGGGAGUAGUGAAGAGCUUGGAGAAAUGUGAUGCUUACAUCCCAUCUAACAGGGACAGCUGCUACUAGAUCUAGCUAAUUAUUGUCAUGCAGCCUUGGGGAGCCAAUACUGCCAGAUCUUGCAGUUUGUAAAGAGAAGCUGAAUUUGUACAUGAAGUAUCAUGAUUUUAAAGCCAUUUUGCGGGCUCAACAAAAGAGCUCUUCAGACAGGAUACAGUGGGAGGAGGGCCCCCAGUUCUCCAAUCUUGGAAUAAGACAGCCGGGUAAGGGACAGGAUGAGAUUGUCAUGUAGGCAACAUGGAAGGAGAGAUAUUCUUAUUAGAGGGAAUAAUAUAAACAGAAACCCGGGGUAGGAGGGACCUAGGGUGGAAGGACAGGAGGAGAGACGGACUGGAACUGGAUUUCCAUGCCUCAGGGGAAAACAUUCCCUUUUAGACUCGUUAGCCUGACCCCACCAACAGCAAGUUGCGGCAUGCAUUUCUGCGUGCAGGCCACUUCCAAAGGUGCCUUCCCUAAUUGUCACUUUGGAUGCACAGGCUUUCAGGUGGAAUGCAAGAUUACAACUACAUCUGGGCCCAGUGUUUUGAAAUUACGUUGGAGCUGUCAUGCUGUAAAUAUCCUCGUGAGGAGAAGCUUCCAUCCUUUUGGAAUAAUAACAAAGCCUCAUUAAUUGAAUAUAUAAAGCAGGUGCACCUAGGUGUAAAGGGUCAAGUUUUUGAUCAGAAUGGAAAUCCAUUACCCAAUGUAAUUGUGGAAGUCCAAGACAGAAAACAUAUCUGCCCCUAUAGAACCAACAAAUAUGGAGAGUAUUAUCUCCUUCUCUUGCCUGGGUCUUAUAUAAUAAAUGUUACAGUCCCUGGACAUGAUCCACACAUCACAAAGGUGAUUAUUCCGGAGAAAUCCCAGAACUUCAGUGCUCUUAAAAAGGAUAUUCUACUUCCAUUCCAAGGGCAAUUGGAUUCUAUCCCAGUAUCAAAUCCUUCAUGCCCAAUGAUUCCUCUAUACAGAAAUUUGCCAGACCACUCAGCUGCAACAAAGCCUAGUUUGUUCUUAUUUUUAGUGAGUCUUUUGCACAUAUUCUUCAAAUAAAGUAAAAUGUGAAACUCAACCCACAUCACCACCUGGAAUCAGGGAUUGCUCACUCCAGGUUACUGCAACCCUAACUCACUCUAGUGGGACCUUGACUGGAGAAACUCCACGAUCUUCCUGAAGAAGAGAAAUGGAUGUUUCCAAAUUCCACAAUAAGCAAUAUGUGGUGAUAAUGAAAAGAAUGAUUCAGUCUUGACGGUGAAUGGAAGACACUUACCUAACAAGUACUGCUCAUUUACACUCAAAUUAAUCUUGAAGUAGUCUUAAAAUGUGUAAGAAGUUAAAACUUGAGAAGCAAAAAAAUGCCUGCAAAAAGAAGAUCAUUUUGUAUACAGAGAACCGGAUGAAUAUAAGCAAUGAAGAUGAACAUUUAUUGAUCUUCUACAUACAAGACUUCACCAUAAGGCCAGGAGCAGUGGCUCACACCUUGUAAUCCCAGCACUUUGGGAGGCCAAGGUGGGCGGAUCACCCUGAGGUUAGGAGUUCAAAACCAGCCUGACCAACAUGGUGAAACCCUGUCUCUACUAAAUAUUAGCGGGGUGUGGUGGCGGGCACCUGUAAUCGCAGCCUUUCAGGAGGCUGAGACAGGAGAAUCGCUUGAACCCUAGAGGCGGAGUUUGCAGUGAGCCGAGAUAGUGCCAUUGUACUCCAGCUUGGGCAACAGAGUAAGACUCUGUCUCAAAAAAAAAAAAACAAAAACAAACAAACAAAAAAAACACCUCACCAUGAGUGCUACAUGUGAAUAGAUAUUAAGUGCCAUAUAUAAUUAGUUCUCAGAAGAAGGGAGAAAUGAUCAUAGGACUGGGAAUUGUUUUGCAAACGUUCUAGGAGAUGUGAGAGAAAAUAUGUAACCACAUCUUAGUGGCCCAAGAAAAUACAGGCCUGAAGGGAUAAGAUUGUGUCUCUAUAGAGCUUCAAAGCAUACAGGUCAAUUAAGAAAGCCCCUCUCUCUCCAGAGCCGUUUCCCUAGCUUUUGGCACCUGGAUGCCACAGUCCUCCAUUAGGCUGAUGACUCCAAAGAUGUAACUCUAGCCUCUUGCCUGAGCUUCAGACUCGCGUCCCACUGCCCACAGGACACAUCCACCUGGAUGUGACUCACAGGUACCUCCAACCCAUCAUGUGGAGAUACUCAUCCUGUUCCCCCUAGAGCUGCUCUUCCUGCUGCAUUCUCUCUCUCAAUUACUGGGACCACCAAGCUAGGAACCUGGGAGUCAUCCUUGAUACUUUCUCUUCCUCCUUAAUCCUGUGUAUUCAGCAAGUAACUAAAGGUUGGUGUUGGCCAGGCAUGGUGGCUCAUGCCUGUAAUCCCAGCAUUUUGGGAGGCCAAGGCGGGCGGAUCACUUGAGGUCAGGAGCUCAAGACCAGCCUGGCCAACAUGGUGAAACCCCAUCUCUACUAAAAAAAAAAAAAAAAUUAGUCGGGCGUGGUGGUGCAUGCCUGUAAUCCCAGCUACUGGGGAGGCUGAGGCAGGAGAAUCGCUUGAACCUGGGAGGCAGAGGUUGCAGUGAGCCGGGAUUGCGCCAUUGUACUCCAGCCUGGGUGAAGAAGUGAGACUCUGUCUUAAAAAAAAAAAUUGGUGCUGAUAAAUAUUGAUGAAUUCUGCUCUCUGCUCUCUAUGGUUGUCAACACUGCAGAGUUGAGGCCUCAUAUCUCACCUGCACUGCUGCAACAGCUUACUGGUCCCUUGCUCCCAGCCUUCUCCUCUUCAGUCCAUCGUCCACACAGCACUGGGGAAGGGGAGCCACUUGAAACAAAAGUCAACAACUGGUUGUAGUUCAUAAACACAGAGCUGUUUGUGUCCCCUGUAUCUGGAAUGCCAUUAUGACCCACUACAUUUUUUCUUUCCUACCCCUCUUAAAACUCAGUUCAGGUAGCAGCUCCACUAGGAAGCCUUGGCUGACCAUAAUCCCAUUCAAUUCCAUUUCACCUCUUCGCAGGCAGUCUGGGGUUAGGGACCCUUUCUCUUUGCUCCCCAAAAUAAACUGGUUAUCUCUACUAUUGGAUUUACAACAUUGUAUUAUAAUCUUCUCCAUGUGUGCCUUCUCUAGUAGAAUGUGAGCUCUUUGAGGCCAAGGUCUAUUUAAUUUGUUUGAAAAAUUCAUUGUUAUAUCCUCAAAGCCUAGCACAUAGUAGGUACUGAAUGAAUGAAUGAACAAGGGGUGCCAGGAGACUGCUACUCCCAGUCCUUCCCAGAAACUGCCUAGGGCUUUGAGUCAUUUUAUGAAGCUAGGUCUUAAUGCGUAGGCAACCUCCCAGCUCACUAUGAACGCUGACAGAAGAGUGUUUUCAUGUCUAUAAUCAAGAAUUCCAGAUACAUUCCUUUUACUGAACCUUGAAUUGAUCCUAAGAUUGGUAGUAAAGGUAUUAUGUUACCUCCUAACAGCACUACAAAGUACCUUUUUUUAUCAGAAAAAAAUUUUACCAUUAGGACUCAAUUUGAAGUACUAAUGCUUCUCAAGUUCUCCACUAUGAGAGUUACCCUGUAUUAGACCGUUACCUAUAAGAAUUAAGGGGUAAAGCACUAAACAGAAAAGAAAAAAAAAAUAGCAACUCUGGUGAGCAGAUUUCUUUCCUUUCUUCCUUCCUUCUCCUCUUCCUACCUUCCUCCCUCCUUUCCCUCUCCUCCCCUUCUCUCCCUUUCCCUCCCCUUCCCUUCCUUUUCUUCUUUCCUCCGCUCCCCUCCCCUUCCCUCCCCUUCCCAUCCUUCUUUCUCUUUUUUUUACUUAAUCCCCAGUGUGACAGUAAUAUAGGCUGAUUUCUAGAAGUGUGGUGUAUUACUCAUGGAAAGUGAGUUGCCUUGGUUAUUACUUUCAAUUGAAAGUUCUAUGGGAUCUAGAAAUGAGACAUACUGGCAUGGAGAGUGAGAACGACAAAGGAAUGAAGAGCUACAGGAGCAUUUAGGCCAUUUCUAUGCCAAGCUUAUUCUACAUGCACAAAAUCAUACAUGUUAAUAAAUAUAAACAAAUUGGAGGCUUAUUUAAACCAAUUAUGAAAUCUGGUAAUUUGUGCAGCAGCAAUAGAUGAUAACCAAAAAAAACUCAUAAUAAUCUGAAUAUCUUGAUCAUUUGUAUUUAAAGAAGCAGUAAUUAUAUACUUGAAAGUACAUAAUAUAGUAUUGCAAAAAUGACUUUGGUAUAUUACAAAUUAAAAGUAUAUAAGAUGAAACUUGAUUUGCUAUCAAGCCCCAAGCAAUUUUUCAACUGGGCAUUGAAUUCUAACUUUUCUAAGAUAGCAAUUUUUGAAGAGACACGAACAAAAAUCUGAAUUAGUUCAUGAGCCUUAAUGUAAAUCUCUUGCUGAAAUAGUUUUUAAAAUCAGAAUUUAGUUAUCUAUCAGACUCAAAAUCAUUUAAAGACUAACAAAACACAAUCAUGAUAUUCUAACUGUGGUCAAACCAGGUACCCAAGCCACCUCCCUGCCCAACGCCUUUCCGGCUUUUCCCCUCCCUCUUGGGCUGGUGGUUAUGCUCCUCCAGCUCUAGUUCAGCUAUAAUUCCUUUUAUAGAGAAACCAACCUGAUACACACUUUCAUGAUGGGAGAAAAAUGUGGGAGUGAAAUGGUAUUUAGAAAGCAGCAGUCAGGCACGGUGGCUCAUGCCUGUAAUCCCAGCACUUUGGGAGGCUGAGGCAGGCGGAUCACUUGAGGUCAGGAGCUCGAGACCAGCCUGGCCAACACGGUGAAACCCCAUCUCUACUAAAAAAAAAUACAAAAAUUAGCCGGGCGUGGUGGCAGGCACCUGUAAUCCCAGCUACUUGGGAGGCUGAGGCAGGAGAAAUCGCCUGAACCCAGAAGGCAGAGGUUGCAGUGAGCCAAGAUCACAUCACUGCACUGCACUCCAGCCGGGGUGACAGAGCGAACCUCUGUCUCAAAAAAAAAAAAAGAAAAAAGAAAGAAAGAAAAAAGGCAGAAGCCCUGGAUUCAAAUCCGCCACACAUUCAGUUUCUUUAUCUGUAAAAUGGAGACCACCCCCCGCCACGCUGAACGGUGAUUCUGUGACUGGUAAGAGAUGCUACAUUUUUGGUGCUUGUUCAGGUGGAGGAAAGAUGAUAGUUAACACUCAGGUAAUAAGUAUUUUGAAGGCAGUAUAAUAUACCUUCUUAAAGAGUAUACCUACUCAAAUGUUGGUAAAUGUUGACAUGAUUGAAUCUAAAUGGCAAAGAGUAUUUUAGAAAAACAUUAAGUCCCUGCAGAUAAAUGACAGUGUUGAUUUGGAUGCUUAAUUACAUUCAGACAUGAACUGUUGGAUGUAUCUGAAAUGUUAAAAGCUUUUUCUCAACAUUUCCAAAAGUCUUUCCAAGAAAUCAAUGUUAUGUUUUGUUCCAGAAGCAAAUUUGCAUUUGUGAUCUGUUUCUAAAAAUGGUACAAGUUAGCUCUGUUUAGAAAGUAAAAAUAUCUGAUGUUAGAUUGGAAGUAUCUCUUCCUGGGGAAUCCAGAAAGAUAAGCAUAGCAUAUUGUCUUACUGCAAUAGAUAAGUUGCUUAUUGAGAAGUCUGGUUGUUAUUCUAUAUGGUAACAAUACAGUUGAUGUAUAUUUUAUGAUAGAUCCUUUAUAUUUUCCUCAUGACUUUAGAAGGGGGAAGGGGGAGAAAAUUAUGAUGACCAGACUAGUUAAAGAGCAUUGAAAGUCCACAGUACUGUAGCUAAAGUAGAAGUUUGGGUUUGUUAUAGACUUUACAUUAUAUCAACUAAUAAGCAGAUACUGUACAGUAUUGCUCACCAUUUUAUCAUACUUUUGCAUAUGAACUACUCCAUUGCCUUUUAUAGAUGUUUUAUAGCUGAUCUUACCAGUUUUCCUGGUAACUUUUUUUAUUUCUUUUUUUUUUUUUUGAGACGGAGUCUCGCCCUAACACCCAGGUUGGAGUGCAGUGCCGUGAUCUCGGCUCACUGCAACCUCUGCCUCCCGGGUUCAAGCAAUUCUCCUGUCUCAGCCUCCCGAGUACCUGGGACUACCGGUGCCUGUCUCCACGCCCGGCUAAUUUUUUGUAUUUGUAGUAGAGACGGGGUUUCACCGUGUUAGCCAGGAUGGUCUCGAUCUCCUGACCUCAUGAUCUGCCUGCCUCUGCCUGGACCUCCCAAAGUGCUGGGAUUACAGGCGUGAGCCCCCGCGCCCAGCCACUUUCUUUAAUACUAUAACUAAGAAUUUAUUAAAAUGCACAAAUUGUCUAAGACUGUAAAGUUUAUUGGGGAGAGGCCAUGACUACCUCUGAAUUUAGUAAAUUUAAAAUAUUUCUGAUUCUCAAUAAAGAACUAAUAUCCAUAUAAA